AUGAAAUCUUCACCGUUAAAUCGCCGUGGUUGUUAGCGGCGGCUAGGAGAGAUAGUGCUCUUUCUCUGAGAACUCCUGCCAUAGUAGACCUAGAAGGGAAAACUAGUUGUGAAACAAAAAUGGCGAUGGGGGUGAACUGGGGAGGUGUUAGGCUUUGAAAGGAGCAGGGAAUUUUAUUCCGGGAAGGGAAAGAACAGGAAACUGACGGGAGAAACAGCCGGAGCGGUGUGGU
rnacentral:misc_RNA from 1 species